GCUCUUGUAUUUUAUAGGGCAAUGCAUUAUAUCAUUGAUAUUUUGCAUAUAUGAUUGCAACAUGUGCUAAACUUGCCUUUCUACUACCGCUUGGCCAAAUCGUUGGGACCGACACCCUCACGCCAAGGCGCGCUGCCGAUCUAGUUCCAUUUCUAGUUAACCUAAACCCUAGUCAGGUCAAUUCCCUCAAAUCCCGCAGCCGCCGCCCCUCUCCUCGCAAUCCGCACGCACCCAGUCCCCUGCCUCCACUUGCCAGAUCCAGUAGCCAAACCCCACCCGAUCUGGACUGCCAGAUCUCAGAUCCGACGGCCCAGAGAGCCUCCCGCAGCCCCGCGGUUCCACCCAUCGCCAGUAACCCCCCGAUCCAGAUCGAGGCGAGCUCGUCCCCAGACCACAGCAGAUGAGCACCACCGUUCUCCCUCUUCCUCCCGUUCUUCCUCCCUUCUCUCCCAUGACUCAUCUCUCUUUUCUCCCGUUUGGCCAGGUCGCCGCCAUGGAUCUCCGGCCGCCGUCUGGAGCCCUUGCCGCCGUGCCCGCCUGGAUCAGGUCUGGAUCUGUUGCCGGUGGCCAGACUCCGCUCCGUUCCCGCUGUCUGCUGCCCGCUCCUCGUCGGGGGUUCCCCGCAUGCACUGAUGGAGGUUCCCAGCUCCUCUUCUGCUUCAUUCUACGGGGAGGAUAACGCACCCCUGGCUCGCGUGGACUGCCCCGGCCCGCCUCGUUGACCUUCUUCCCCCACUGAACCUCGCUGCCAGAGCCUCAAGACCCUGCUGCCAAGUCUCCCACCGCGCCAUCUUCAAGCCUUCGGCCGCCUUGCUCCUGCUUCGGUUGGCCUCCACACGCGAGGAAGACGACGAGCAUUGACCGCGCCUGCUGCCUCCCCUGCUUCGCGUCGAACCGCUCUAGCCCCGCUCCACUUGACCGAGCCCAGCCUCGCGACUUGCUUCCUCGCGGGCCACAAGCCACGGCCGACCCAGCUUCCCUCCAAGGCCCAACGUCUGCACCAGCUGAGCUUGGCCUAAUGUGAGCAGCUCCCUAGCCUCCAGUUUCGACGUAGCUAUUUUUUUCUUGUCUGCAAAUUUGCCUAAUUAUUCCAGGAACUGCAGUUUUAUUGAAAAACCCUCAUUGUUCAUGCAUAUAAUUACUCGCAAACCGUGCAUCAGAUUAAAAUGUUAUAUAUAUAUGAAAUGCUUAGUUUUUCAUGUACUUUCAUAAUAUGCCACUUUCGUCCAUGUUUAAAAUGUUUAAAAUGUUGUUUGUUUAAAUUUUCUCAAAUGUCAUGCUAAAAUAAUUUAUUUCUUUAUCUAAUAUUAAAGGACGGAAGCUUUCAUGAUUCUCCAUAAGUCAUGCCUUCAUAUCCAUUGAUUUUAUGUUACUUAUAAUUGAUGGCUAAGAUUUAAAAAUAGAUAUACAAAGUUCGGACUAGAAAAAGGACAUGACGAACUCCUCGCACAUAAUAGACGUACAUUGCUGGAACUUGGGCAAACAACCAACCAAGCCAAAAUAUUUAAAAAUAAAUAAUGCAAUUGUGGUCUGAAACAUAGACAACAUUAAAUUAAGGCAUGCUAGCAAACAUACCUAAGAGUAAGAGCUGUUAUGCGUAAAAGACAAAUUACUUCAUACACGUGGGAGACGACGGCUAGCCGUGACUAGCACACCAAGGCGAAGGUGGAGUCGUAGACUGGUAGUUGCAUGGCUACAACAACCACGCACGGACCCAUC
rnacentral:lncRNA from 1 species